ACGAGUUAGGGUCUUCUAGGCCCGACCUCCCAACCCUCUGUUUCCUCAACCUCUGUUGCUUCGGCGGACCCGUCUCACGACCGCCGGAGGACCGCCGGAAGGCGUCCUCUGGCCAGCGUCCGUCGACAGCCAAUCAAUUAAACUCUGCAUGAAUUGUGUUGUCUGAGUCUAUUAAAAAAUUAACGCA
rnacentral:misc_RNA from 1 species